GAUGAAGAACGUAGCGAAAUGCGAAAAGUAAUGUGAAUUGCAGAAUUCAGUGAAUCAUCGAAUCUUUGAACGCACAUUGCGCCCGCCAGUAUUCUGGCGGGCAUGCCUGUUCGAGCGUCAUUACAACCCUCAGGCCCCCGGGCCUGGCGUUGGGGAUCGGCGGAAGCCCCCUGCGGGCACAACGCCGUCCCCCAAAUACAGUGGCGGUCCCGCCGCAGCUUCCAUUGCGUAGUAGCUAACACCUCGCAACUGGAGAGCGGCGCGGCCACGCCGUAAAACACCCAACUUCUGAAUGUUGACCUCGAAUCAGGUAGGAAUACCCGCUGAACUUAAGCAUAUCAAUAAGCGGAGGA
rnacentral:misc_RNA from 1 species